rnacentral:rRNA from 1 species
CCUACGGGAGGCAGCAGUGAGGAAUAUUGGUCAAUGGACGAGAGUCUGAACCAGCCAAGUAGCGUGAAGGAUGACUGCCCUAUGGGUUGUAAACUUCUUUUAUAGGGGAAUAAAAUGUGCCACGUGUGGGAUUUUGUAUGUACCAUAUGAAUAAGGAUCGGCUAACUCCGUGCCAGCAGCCGCGGUAAUACGGAGGAUCCGAGCGUUAUCCGGAUUUAUUGGGUUUAACGGGAGCGUAGGGGGUUUGUUAAGUCAGUUGUGAAAGUUUGCGGCUCCACCGUAAAAUUGCAGUUUAAACUGGCAGUCUUGAGUACAGUAGCGGUGGGCGGAAUUCGUGUUGUAGCGG